CUGCUGCCUCCCGUAGGAGUUUGGACCGUGUCUCAGUUCCAAUGUGGGGGACCUUCCUCUCAGAACCCCUAUCCAUCGAUGCCUUGGGUGGCCGUUACCCCGCCAACAAGCUAAUGGAACGCAUCCCCAUCGAUGACCGAAAUUCUUUAAUAGUUCUACCAUGCGGAAGAACUAUGCCAUCGGGUAUUAAUCUUUCUUUCGAAAGGCUAUCCCCGAGUCAUCGGCAGGUUGGAUACGUGUUACUCACCCGUGCGCCGGUCGCCA
rnacentral:rRNA from 1 species